rnacentral:rRNA from 1 species
GACGAACGCUGGCGGCGUGCCUAACACAUGCAAGUCGAACGGAGUAAGCUCUUCGGAACUUACUUAAUGGCGAACGGGUGAGUAACGUGUGAGAAACCUGCCUUUCAGUGGGGGACAACAGUUGGAAACGACUGCUAAUACCGCAUAAUGUUUCGAGAGGGCAUCCUUUUGAAACCAAAGCUUUAUGUGCUGAAAGAUGGUCUCGCGUCUGAUUAGCUAGUUGGUGAGGUAACGGCUCACCAAGGCGACGAUCAGUAGCCGGUCUGAGAGGAUGAACGGCCACAUUGGGACUGAGAUACGGCCCAGACUCCUACGGGAGGCAGCAGUGGGGAAUAUUGGGCAAUGGGGGAAACCCUGACCCAGCAACGCCGCGUGAAGGAAGAAGGCCUUCGGGUUGUAAACUUCUUUUACCAGGGACGAAGAACGUGACGGUACCUGGAGAAAAAGCAACGGCUAACUACGUGCCAGCAGCCGCAGUAACAC